CCAAAAUGGAGGAAUAGUCGGUCAGAAAUUGAGUUGGCAUAGGAUGCCCAGCGGCAAAGUGGGAAUAUGAAAGCAACUACGCGCUGCUGAUGAGGGUUAUUUACUCAUAAAUAUGCUUGUCAACUAAGCCACUGAUCCACCGCAUUGGCAUUAAAAAAUGUUUAAUAUAUAGAGUGAACAGUAAUCUGAUGGAACACCAAACUAGAGGUUUCAGGGUCUGCCCAGGCAACCAAAUGCAUUGUGUGCAGUCCUUUUGGAGGAAGUGGGUGUACCAGGGGGCCGGAAACAUGUGGCAACCAGGUUCUGUUGAAGAUGCC